GACGAACUGAGCGAACGUUGUUCGGAAUCACUGGGCUUAAAGGGCGCGUAGGCGGGCAUUCAAGUCCGUGGUGAAAUCCGGCAGCUCAACUGUCGAACUGCCGCGGAUACUGGGUGUCUCGAGGGAGGUAGGGGCGUGCGGAACUAUUGGUGGAGCGGUGAAAUGCGUUGAUAUCAAUAGGAACUCCGGUGGCGAAGGCGGCACGCUGGACCUUUCUGACGCUGAGGCGC
rnacentral:rRNA from 1 species